rnacentral:rRNA from 1 species
AGUGAACGCUGGCGGUAGGCCUAACACAUGCAAGUCGAACGGCAGCACAGUAAGAGCUUGCUCUUACGGGUAGCGAGUGGCGGACGGGUGAGGAAUACAUCGGAAUCUACUUUUUCGUGGGGGAUAACGUAGGGAAACUUACGCUAAUACCGCAUACGACCUACGGGUGAAAGCAGGGGAUCUUCGGACCUUGCGCGAUUGAAUGAGCCGAUGUCGGAUUAGCUAGUUGGCGGGGUAAAGGCCCACCAAGGCGACGAUCCGUAGCUGGUCUGAGAGGAUGAUCGGCCACACUGGAACUGAGACACGGUCCAGACUCCUACGGGAGGCAGCAGUUGGGAAUAUUGGACAAUGGGCGCAAGCCUGAUCCAGCCAUACCGCGUGGGUGAAGAAGGCCUUCGGGUUGUAAAACCCUUUUGUUGGGAAAGAAAAGCAGCAGGUUAAUACCCCGCUGUUCUGACGGUACCCAAAGAAUAAGCACCGGCUAACUUCGUG